rnacentral:rRNA from 1 species
UACAUGAGGUGCAAACGUUACCCGGAAUCAUUGGGCGUAAAGCGUCCGCAGGUGGUUCAUUAAGUCUGAUGUAAAAUCUUGAGGCUCAACUUCAAGUUCGCGUCUGAAACUGAUGAACUAGAGUAUUGGAGAGGUGAGUGGAAUUCUAUAUGUAGGGGUAAAAUCCGUAGAUAUAUAGAGGAACACCAAAAGCGAAGGCAGCUCACUGGCCAAUUACUGACACUCAGGGACGAAAGCGUGGGUAGCAAACGGG